AUCCCAGCAUAUCCACCAGUUCCAAAGUUUCCCAACACAUUCCCACAGCUAGAGACCAGUUGAAUAAGAGAAUUAAAUGUAUCUUUUUCCCACCAGUAUCAGAUAACAGCUUGAGAAACUCCCUUAAUGCACGUGCCAUGUUUGCUCAUUUGGGACUUUGUGCACAUGAUUUGCAGUUAUUUUCACAGUUUCAGUCACCUAUGUGAUUCUUCUUCCAAAUGAUCAGCCUUCUAUUUUCAUAACAGGCCCUUCAAUCUGCUAAAGUCUUUUCUCAAGUAAGAGUUCCUCUCGUAUCCGGCAGAAGAGAACCCUGAACCCAGCUCUGAAUCAGCAUCCUUCAUAACUAUAUUCACCCACUAGCACUAAGAGAAUUUUCCACCUUGGCUUGAAUACUUUAUUCAUG
rnacentral:lncRNA from 1 species